rnacentral:ncRNA from 1 species
AAUAAAUUUUGUGAUUUAAAAAAUUUAAUUUAAAUUUAUUUUACAUAUAAAUUUUAGUGUUAAUUUUUAAUUAUUUUAAUAAUUUUUUAAAAAAAUUGGUAGUAAUUAAAAUUAUAAAUUUAAGAAAUUAAGAUUUAGUAAUAUUUAUAUUUAUUAACAAAUUUUGUGCCAGCAGUUGCGGUUAUACAAAUAAUAAUUUAAAUUUUAUUAGUGAAUAAUUAAUAUAAUAAGAUAAAAAUUAAAUAUUAAUUUAUUAGGUAAAAUUUUAAUUUAAUAAAAAUUUUAAUUAAUUAUAUGAUUUAUUAAAUUUUGAAAAAAACUAGGAUUAGAUACCCUAUUAUUAAAAAUUAAAUUAAUAAUACUAAAUUAGUAUAUAAUAAUUUAUAAAAACUUAAAUAAUUUGGCGGUAUUUUAGUUCAUUUAGAGGAAUCUGUUUAAUAAUUGAUAAUCCACGAAUAAAUUUACUUAAUUUAUGAAUUUUGUAUAUCGUUGUUAAAAAAAUAUUUUUUAAUAAAAAUAAUAUUUUAAAAUUAUAAAUAUAAAUUAGUUCAGAUCAAGAUGCAGAUUAUAAUUAAGAAUAUAAUGGAUUACAAUAUAUAAUAAAUAAAUGGAUAUUAUUGUUUAAUAAAUAUUUGAAAAUGGAUUUAAAUGUAAUUUUAUUUAAUUUAUUAAAAUGAUUAUAAAUUAAAAUAUGUACAUAUUGCCCGUCGCUUUCAUAUAUAAAUUGAAAUAAGUCGUAACAAAGUAGAAGUACUGGAAAGUGUUUCUAGAAAGAA